UAAAAGAUGGCUGAGGACUUAAGCAUUAGGUUGAAGGCCUAACUACGGUGAAAAUUUCAUCUCUUUUAACC
rnacentral:tRNA from 3 species